rnacentral:rRNA from 1 species
AUUACCGCGGCUGCUGGCACGAAGUUAGCCGGGGCUUCUUCUGCGGGUACCGUCAUUAUCUUCCCCGCCGAAAGAGCUUUACAACCCUAAGGCCUUCAUCCCUCCCGCGGCGUGGCUGGUUCAGGGUUGCGCCCAUUGUCCAAGAUUCCCCACUGCUGCCUCCCGUAGG